UGCCGGGUCGUCUAAUGGUAGGACGGUGGACUCUGGAUCCAUUAGUGGAGGUUCGAAUCCUCCCCCGGCAG
rnacentral:tRNA from 1 species